AACGAACGCUGGCGGCGUGCUUAACACAUGCAAGUCGAACGAGAUCUUCGGAUCUAGUGGCAGACGGGUGAGGAACACGUGGGAACAUCCCUUUCAGUUCGGAAUAACGUUGGGAAACUAACGCUAAUACCGGAUACGUCCUUCGGGAGAAAGAUUUAUCGCUGAAAGAUUGGCCCGCGUCUGAUUAGCUAGUUGGUGAGGUAAUGGCUCACCAAGGCUACGAUCAAUAGCUGAUCUGAGAGGAUGAUCAGCCACAUUGGGACUGAGACACGGCCCAAACUCUCACGGGAGGCAGCAGUGGGGAAUAUUGGACAAUGGGGGCAACCCUGAUCCAGCCAUGCCGCGUGAGUGAUGAAGGCCUUAGGGUUAUAAAACUCUUUUAUCCGGGAAGAUAAUGACUGUACCGGAAGAAUAAGCCCCGGCUAACUUCGUGCCAGCAGCCGCCGUAAGAC
rnacentral:rRNA from 1 species